AUAGCCAUCCAGUUGACGGCUGUUGCUUGUCGCCGUUGGUUUGGUACUAUACGUCGUCGUCGUGUCGUGAGAAAGCAUGCUCGAGCACUGGGGCCGCGCGUGCUUCGUUGUGUCUCUCGUGAUCAUGGGAGGAGUGGUUGUGAGUGGCUUGUACCACUUGCUAUAUCAAGUCAGUCAGGACAUGAACGAAUUGACAAGCUCGAUGGGCCGUGUGGAAUCGUCGCUGGGCCGACUUCUUCCAUCCCUGGACGAUGCCGCCCUGGAAGGUGCCCUUACGAACCAAACGGGGCGCAUCCUCGACGCCAUCCGUGCCGCUUUGCGUUACUAACAGGGAUGCGGUGAGGAGGAGUAGACCUGCGUCGUAUAUCCAAGCUCACCACCGACUUCAGUCUCAGUGAGGUCUUUGUUACUUGUGCUGCGAGUGCGACAUUGGCGCCUACCACGCGGGUCUGUGUCAAGUUGAUUUGGUUCCUACAUGUGAAGGCAGCUGUAAUUUGUUUUGCGUCAUGCGUUUCCCGUACUCAAGAAUAGACGUUGUUAUUUGUUUGUC